rnacentral:tRNA from 1 species
UAAAAAAUAUUUUAUCAAAAUAUAAACUUUGGAAGUUUAAGAUAUGUUUUUCAUUUUUUUAA